rnacentral:rRNA from 1 species
GACGAACGCUGGCGGCGUGCUUAACACAUGCAAGUCGAGCGGUAAGGCCCUUUCGGGGGUACACGAGCGGCGAACGGGUGAGUAACACGUGGGUGACCUGCCCUCAGCUCUGGGAUAGGCCUGGGAAACUGGGUCUAAUACUGGAUAUGACUCCACGGUGCAUGUCGUGGGGUGGAAAGCCUUGUGCGGCUGAGGAUGGGCCCGCGGCCUAUCAGCUUGUUGGUGGGGUGAUGGCCUACCAAGGCGACGACGGGUAGCCGGCCUGAGAGGGCGACCGGCCACACUGGGACUGAGACACGGCCCAGACUCCUACGGGAGGCAGCAGUGGGGAAUCUUGCGCAAUGGGCGAAAGCCUGACGCAGCGACGCCGCGUGAGGGAUGACGGCCUGGU